rnacentral:tRNA from 1 species
GGCCCAGUACUUCAGAGGAUAGAAACCGCUCUGCCAAAGCGGAAGUCGGGGGUUCGAGUCCCCCCUGGGCCA